rnacentral:rRNA from 1 species
UACGUAGGGUGCAAGCGUUGUCCGGAAUUAUUGGGCGUAAAGAGCUCGUAGGCGGUCUGUUGCGUCGGUUGUGAAAACCUGAGGCUCAACCUCAGGCCUGCAGUCGAUACGGGCGGACUUGAGUACUGCAGGGGAGACUGGAAUUCCUGGUGUAGUGGUGGAAUGCGUAGAGAUCCGGAGGAACACCAGCGGCGAAGGCGGCAUCCUGGACUGGUCCUGACACUCAGGAGCGAAAGCGUGGGGAGCGAUCCGG